rnacentral:tRNA from 1 species
GCCCAAGUGGCGAAAUGGCAGACGCAAAGGACUUAAAAUCCUUCGGUGGAAACACCGUGCCGGUUACGCACUUGCGUGCGUGAAUAUCGUCGCAAAAAUGCCCUUGCAAGCAAGCAUUUCUUGCUCGAUAUAUGACGAGUCCGGCCUUGGGCACCA